rnacentral:rRNA from 1 species
GCCCGACACGACCGUACCGCAAACCGACACUGGUGCGCGAGAUGAGUAUUCUCAGGCGCUUGAGAGAACUCGGGAGAAGGAACUCGGCAAAUUGACACCGUAACUUCGGAAGAAGGUGUGCCUUUAGUAGGUGAACCUGUACAAGGGGAGCCCAAUGUGGUUGCAAAAAAUCGGUGGCUGCGACUGUUUAAUAAAAACACAGCACUCUGCAAACACGAAAGUGGACGUAUAGGGUGUGACGCCUGCCCGGUGCUGGAAGAUUAAGUGAUGGGGUGCAAGCUCUUGAUCGAAGUCCCAGUAAACGGCGGCCGUAACCAUAACGGUCCUAAGGUAGCGAAAUUCCUUGUCGGGUAAGUUCCGACCUGCACGAAUGGCGUAACGAUGGCCACACUGUCUCCUCCCGAGACUCAGCGAAGUUGAAAUGUUUGUGAUGAUGCAAUCUCCCCGCGGAAAGACGGAAAGACCCCAUGAACCUUUACUGUAGCUUUGUAUUGGACUUUGAACGGAUCUGUGUAGAUAGGUGGGAGGCUUUGAAGCAGGGUCGCUAGAUCUUGUGGAGCCAACGUUGAAAUACCACCCUGGUGCGUUUGAGGUUCUAACCUAGGCCCGUUAUCCGGGCCGGGGACAGUGCAUGGUAGGCAGUUUGACUGGGGCGGUCUCCUCCCAAAGCGUAACGGAGGAGUUCGAAGGUACGCUAGUUACGGUCGGACAUCGUGACGAUAGUGCAAUGGCAUAAGCGUGCUUAACUGCGAGACUGACAAGUCGAGCAGAUGCGAAAGCAGGACAUAGUGAUCCGGUGGUUCUGUAUGGAAGGGCCAUCGCUCAACGGAUAAAAGGUACUCUGGGGAUAACAGGCUGAUACCGCCCAAGAGUUCAUAUCGACGGCGGUGUUUGGCACCUCGAUGUCGGCUCAUCUCAUCCUGGGGCUGUAGCCGGUCCCAAGGGUAUGGCUGUUCGCCAUUUAAAGAGGUACGUGAGCUGGGUUUAAAACGUCGUGAGACAGUUUGGUCCCUAUCUUCCGUGGGCGCUGCAGAUUUGAGGAAGCCUGCUCCUAGUACGGGAGGACCGGAGUGGACGCACCUCUGGUGUACCUGUUGUCACGCCAGUGGCAUUGCAGGGUAGCUAAGUGCGGAAGAGAUAACCGCUGAAAGCAUCUAAGCGGGAAACUCGUUUCAAGAUGAGAUCUGCCGGGGCCUUGAGCCCCCUGAAGAGUCGUUCUAGACCAGGACGUUGAUAGGUCAGGUGUGGAAGCGCAGUAAUGCGUUAAGCUAACUGAUACUAAUUGCUCGUGCGGCUUGACCU